GACGAACGCUGGCGGCGUGCCUAAUACAUGCAAGUAGAACGCUGAAGGAGGAGCUUGCUUCUCUGGAUGAGUUGCGUACGGGUGAGUAACGCGUAGGUAACCUGCCUGGUAGCGGGGGAUAACUAUUGGAAACGAUAGCUAAUACCGCAUAAGAGUAGAUGUUGCAUGACAUUUGCUUAAAAGGUGCAAUUGCAUCACUACCAGAUGGACCUGCGUUGUAUUAGCUAGUUGGUGAGGUAACGGCUCACCAAGGCGACGAUACAUAGCCGACCUGAGAGGGUGAUCGGCCAAACUGGGACGGAGACACGGCCCAGACUCCUACGGGAGGCAGCAGUAGGGAAUCUUCGGCAAUGGACGGAAGUCUGACCGAGCAACGCCGCGUGAGUGAAGAAGGUUUUCGGAUCGUAAAGCUCUGUUGUAAGAGAAGAACGAGUGUGAGAGUGGAAAGUUCACACUGUGACGGUAUCUUACCAGAAAGGGACGGCUAACUACGUG
rnacentral:rRNA from 1 species